UACGUAGGGUGCGAGCGUUAAUCGGAAUUACUGGGCGUAAAGCGUGCGCAGGCGGUUUUGUAAGCCAGAUGUGAAAUCCCCGGGCUUAACCUGGGAAUGGCAUUUGGGACUGCAAGGCUCGAGUGCGGCAGAGGAGACUGGAAUUCCUGGUGUAGCGGUGAAAUGCGCAGAUAUCAGGAAGAACACCAAUGGCGAAAGCAGCUCUCUGGGGCGGUACUGACGCUGAGACGCGAAAGCGUGGGGAGCGAACAGG
rnacentral:rRNA from 1 species